GACGAACGCUGGCGGCGUGCUUAACACAUGCAAGUCGAGCGGAAAGGCCCUGCUUUUGUGGGGUGCUCGAGUGGCGAACGGGUGAGUAACACGUGAGUAACCUGCCCUUGACUUUGGGAUAACUUCAGGAAACUGGGGCUAAUACCGGAUAGGAGCUCCUGCUGCAUGGUGGGGGUUGGAAAGUUUCGGCGGUUGGGGAUGGACUCGCGGCUUAUCAGCUUGUUGGUGGGGUAGUGGCUUACCAAGGCUUUGACGGGUAGCCGGCCUGAGAGGGUGACCGGCCACAUUGGGACUGAGAUACGGCCCAGACUCCUACGGGAGGCAGCAGUGGGGAAUAUUGCACAAUGGGCGGAAGCCUGAUGCAGCAACGCCGCGUGCGGGAUGACGGCCUUCGGGUUGUAAACCGCUUUCGCCUGUGACGAAGCGUGAGUGACGGUAAUGGGUAAAAAAGCACCGGCUAACUACGUG
rnacentral:rRNA from 1 species